rnacentral:rRNA from 1 species
GACGAACGCUGGCGGCGUGCUUAACACAUGCAAGUCGAACGGUAAGGCCCUUCGGGUACGACGAGUGGCGAACGGGUGGAGUAACACGUGGGUGAUCUGCCUGCACUUCGGGAUAAGCCUGGGAAACUGGGUCUAAUACCGGAUAGGACCAUGGACUUCACGGUUUGUGGUGGAAAGCUUUUGCGGUGUGGGAUGGGCCCGCGGCCUAUCAGCUUGUUGGUGGGGUAAUGGCCCUACCAAGGCGACGACGGGUAGCCGGCCUGAGAGGGUGUCCGGCCACACUGGGACUGAGAUACGGCCCAGACUCCUACGGGAGGCAGCAGUGGGGAAUAUUGCACAAUGGGCGCAAGCCUGAUGCAGCGACGCCGCGUUGAGGGAUGACGGCC